GUUCCUGUAGUGUAGUGGUUAUCACGUUUGCUUUAUACACAAAAGGUCUCUGGUUCAAAACCAGACAGAAAUG
rnacentral:tRNA from 1 species